rnacentral:rRNA from 1 species
GACGAACGCUGGCGGCGUGCUUAACACAUGCAAGUCGAACGGAAAGGCCCUGCUUUUGUGGGGUGCUCGAGUGGCGAACGGGUGAGUAACACGUGAGUAACCUGCCCUUGACUGUGGGAUAACUUCAGGAAACUGGGGCUAAUACCGGAUAGGAGCUCCUGCUGCAUGGUGGGGGUUGGAAAGUUUCGGCGGUUGGGGAUGGACUCGCGGCUUAUCAGCUUGUGGGUGGGGUAGUGGCUUACCAAGGCUUUGACGGGUAGCCGGCCUGAGAGGGUGACCGGCCACAUUGGGCCUGAGAUACGGCCCAGACUCCUACGGGAGGCAGCAGUGGGGAAUAUUGCACAAUGGGCGGCAGCCUGAUGCAGCAACGCCGCGUGCGGGAUGACGGCCUUCGGGUUGUAAACCGCUUUCGCCUGUGACGAAGCGUGAGUGACGGUAAUGGGUAAAGAAGCACCGGCUAACUACGUG